rnacentral:rRNA from 1 species
UGCAACUCGCCUGCAUGAAGUUGGAAUUGCUAGUAAUCGCGAAUCAGAAUGUCGCGGUGAAUACGUUCCCGGGCCUUGUACACACCGCCCGUCACACCAUGAGAGUCGAUAACACCCGAAGCCUGUGAGCUAACCGCAAGGAGGCAGCAGUCGAAGGUGGGGUUGAUGAUUGGGGUGAAGUCGUAACAAGGUACC